AUUGAACGCUGGCGGCAGGCUUAACACAUGCAAGUCGAGCGGGGUGAUGGUGCUUGCACUAUCACUUAGCGGCGGACGGGUGAGUAAUGCUUAGGAAUCUGCCUAUUAGUGGGGGACAACAUCUCGAAAGGGAUGCUAAUACCGCAUACGUCCUACGAGAGAAAGCCGGGGAUCUUUAUGACCUUGCGCUAAUAGAUGAGCCUAAGUCGGAUUAGCUAGUUGGUGGGGUAAAGGCCUACCAAGGCGACGAUCUGUAGCGGGUCUGAGAGGAUGAUCCGCCACACUGGGACUGAGACACGGCCCAGACUCCUACGGGAGGCAGCAGUGGGGAAUAUUGGACAAUGGGGGGAACCCUGAUCCAGCCAUGCCGCGUGUGUGAAGAAGGCCUUAUGGUUGUAAAGCACUUUAAGCGAGGAGGAGGCUCUUUUGGUUAAUACCCAGAAUGAGUGGACGUUACUCGCAGAAUAAGCACCGGCUAACUCUGUGCCAGCCGCCGCGGUAA
rnacentral:rRNA from 1 species